CGCUGAGUUUGAUCCUGGCUCAGAUUGAACGCUGGCGGAAUGCUUUACACAUGCAAGUCGAACGGUAGAGGGGGUAACCCCUUGAGAGUGGCGAACGGGUGAGUAAUAUAUCGGAACGUGCCCAGUCGUGGGGGAUAACGUAGCGAAAGUUACGCUAAUACCGCAUACGAUCUAAGGAUGAAAGCGGGGGAUCGCAAGACCUCGCGCGAUUGGAGCGGCCGAUAUCAGAUUAGGUAGUUGGUGGGGUAAAGGCUCACCAAGCCAACGAUCUGUAGCUGGUCUGAGAGGACGACCAGCCACACUGGAACUGAGACACGGUCCAGACUCCUACGGGAGCAGCAGUGGGGAAUAUUGGUCAAUGGGCGAAAGCCUGAUGCAGCAACGCCGCGUGAGGGAUG
rnacentral:rRNA from 1 species